CAGCAGCCGCGGUAACACCAGCAGCCCAAGUGGUGGUCGCGAUUAUUGGGCCUAAAGCGCUCGUAGCCGGGCCGGUAAGUCCCUUGUGAAACCGGACGGCCUAACCGUUCGGCGUGCAAGGGAUACUGUCGGUCUUGAGGCCGGGAGACGUCCGAGGUACUCCGGGGGUAGCGGUGAAAUGUUCUGAUCCUCGGGGGACCACCGGUGGCGAAGGCGUUCGACGAGAACGGGCCUGACGGUGAGGGGCGAAGGCUAGGGGAGCAAACGGGAUUAGAUACCCGGGUAGUCCCUGUCUCUUAUA
rnacentral:rRNA from 1 species